ACCUAGCCUCUAUUUGAUCAGGACAGAAGGGAGGAGGAGAGAAGAGGUGCGUGAAAUCAAUAGGGAGAAAGGAAGAGUGCGUGAUGGCGAAGGGUGGAAGGCCAAGAAUUCCUUCGUCAUUUAUGAACACCGAUGUGUUGUAAAGAAUGUUGCUAGCAGGAAAACCAAGAGCAAGUUCGUGGUCAAGGAAGACUCAGAAGAAUCCUUUUACGAUUUUGGGAAAUUGCUUUGUAAAGUUGUAACACCCAAAAUUUUUCUUUUAUUUUAUUUUAAUUUUAUUGGAAUUUUGUCUAA